CCUACGGGAGGCAGCAGUGAGGAAUAUUGGUCAAUGGACGAGAGUCUGAACCAGCCAAGUAGCGUGAAGGAUGACUGCCCUAUGGGUUGUAAACUUCUUUUAUAUGGGAAUCAAACGUUCCACGUGUGGGAUUUUGUAUGUACCAUAUGAAUAAGGAUCGGCUAACUCCGUGCCAGCAGCCGCGGUAAUACGGAGGAUCCGAGCGUUAUCCGGAUUUAUUGGGUUUAAAGGGAGCGUAGGUGGAUUGUUAAGUCAGUUGUGAAAGUUUGCGGCUCAACCGUAAAAUUGCAGUUGAAACUGGCAGUCUUGAGUACAGUAGAGGUGGGCGGAAUUCGUGGUGUAGCGGUGAAAUGCUUAGAUAUCACGAAGAACUCCGAUUGCGAAGGCAGUUCACUGGACUGCAACUGACACUGAGGCUCGAAAGUGUGGGUAUCAAACAGGAUUAGAUACCCUUGUAGUC
rnacentral:rRNA from 1 species